GACCUUUUCCAUCUCCAUCCAGUGUUGUGAUCCAGAAGCAUCAUAGAGAGUUGCGAGUGUGGCAUUUUUGUUCUAAUAUAAAGAUGAGCCAGCCUGUGUGAGAGUACUUCCUCUGGGGUCGUUUGGGCCUUUCCUUCACUUCAGCUGGUGUGAGAUUUCCUGCACUGCAUGUGUAUGGAUUUGGGAGUGUAGAGUGCCGCAAACACUGUUUCUGGUGAUACUGGGGAAACCCCUCCCCCUCCACGGGGGUCCUGAGGGCCCAUCAUGCCUUGAUCCAACCAGAUAUGGGCUCAUGCAGGAGAUAGAAGACUCUCUCACAAAGAACCAAGGACAAUCUCAGGAGUUUGGAACCAGGACUCCGACCAACAACGACUCCAAUCACCCACUCUUCUGACUUCCUCACUUCUCCUGGGUGCUCGGCGUGGCCUCAACACGGCCCAGGGCCCCAGGGCCCCUUGAAAUUUACAGUUUUUUUUUUUAUUCGCUUUGGUAC